UACAGAGGUCCCGAGCGUUGUUCGGAUUCACUGGGCGUAAAGGGUGCGUAGGCGGUGGGGUAAGUCGGAUGUGAAAUCUCCGAGCUCAACUCGGAAAUGGCAUUGGAAACUACCUUGCUCGAGGGUUGGAGGGGGGACUGGAAUACUUGGUGUAGCAGUGAAAUGCGUAGAUAUCUGGAGGAACACCGGUGGCGAAGGCGGCAUCCUGGACCAACACUGACGCUGAGGAGCGAAAGCCAGGGGAGCAAACGGG
rnacentral:rRNA from 1 species